AAUCAAUUAUUUUAAUUGCUCAAAUAAGCAUAAGGAAUUAAUUGAAGUAGGUGAGGGAGCUCACAAGCAGUUUGAAGAUAUUUGCACCUUCAAAGACAUGCACUUCCUAUAGGAGUUCAAGCAAAAAUCAAAGCAAAUAAUUAACAGCUACAGGUAUGGAAAACGUUGAAUUACACAAAAACAAGGGUCAUGACCAACUGUGUACCUGCUGAAGUUGACAUUUUAAAAGAUGACAAUCUAGGAACUCUAAAAUGGUUGUGUGGUCCAGCAAAGACACGAAUUCAAAUGUAAAUCAUUUAAUUAAACUUUGAGGCGAAGCCAUUUGAAGAACAAGGUCAAGGCCUGUGUCUUCCCGCGGGACAGUGGUCUUCCUUGCCGAGGCGCGCGGGCAGGGCGGGGCCCUAGCACUGUAGCUCCUCCCCCUCGGCCAGCCGGGGGCCGCCGGCCGAGCUCUGCGCGCUGGCGUGGGCCGUGGAGCUCAGCACCUCCUCGAAGCUGCCGCCGCCGUGGUUCGCCCCGCCUACUUUCGUCUGAAACGGGCCAAGAGGCACAGUUUUCAACUUCUCAAAUCAAAAGAGA
rnacentral:lncRNA from 1 species